GUGAAAUAUUUCACGAAAACAAACACCCCUUUUGUUUGAACGUGAACAUUUCCCCCAUCCCCUUCGUGUAAUACGAAAAUGGCACCCGCUCCUCCCCCGGAGCGGGUGCUCU
rnacentral:sRNA from 1 species